GCGCUGCCGGCUCAACGCGGGGUACAAACACCCCUCGGAGUGACUGACGGGCUGCGCCAGCCAAUAAAGGACGCGUACAGCAGAGUGACAAGCUACCGGCCCAAUCGCGAGCUACUGUCGUGUCUGGAGAAAGCUCACCAGGUGCUCUGGUUCUCUCCGAAUUGCCCACGUGAUCCCAUCAAAAGAAUGAUGAUCAGAAAGAUCCUUCUGCAUCAGGACUUCUGUGACAGCAGGGCAGCACUUGGCAUGUCUGGCAAACUCCUUGGAACGUUGUUUAGGAGUGCCUGAGAUGGGGUGACUUCAGGACUGUUAUUGUGCUGUCUAGCCUGGGUUUGCAGGAGGAAUGCCCUAAAAUACAAACUGACUGGAAUUUUUCUGCAUAUGUUUUUGUCUGAUACAUAUUUCUGUCACCAGUAGGUGGCUUUCUACCCAUCUGCAUGCGCUGUUACUAUCUCAGACCCCAGCA
rnacentral:lncRNA from 1 species